rnacentral:lncRNA from 1 species
CCAACAUUAUAGGAUAACAAGCACAUUCGUAGGCCUUGGGUUCCAAAUGUUUUAUGGAGUCCGGGAUCCUAUAUUUCUCCUUAAGCUUACUUAGUUCAACGUAGGUUAUAAUAGAAGGAUUUAUUGAAGCCCCAACCUAUUUCAUAGUCGAUUGGACCUUCGCUCAUCAUCCAAUAACCUCCAUCCGACCCACCAGACAUAGCCUCGUCCCCAAACCCAGCAAUAGUUACCCUCCCACUUUUAGCACUGGACCCAGAAGCCAUUAAACUAACGGAAGAAAUGAAUGAUGGAAAAAAAGAGAAAAUACCUAAACAGGAAAGAAGCUCUAAGGGAGGUAACAUCACCGACGAAUAGAAGUGACCGAAAAAGCCUUGGAAUACUGGACAGAUUUGAAGAUUUUUGCAAAUGUAAAAAUCUGAUACAUUGGUAGGAUUUUAGCUUUUAUAAGCAAGGAAGACAAAGCUCAACCAUCAGAUCAAGACCUACAUCAUCUUAGCCAUCCAUUUUUGAGCCACAUCCNNNNCAUUGAAUUCAAAAGAUUUUUCUCAAUGUCUCUUUUUUAUACGUGUAUCUCACGCAAGAGACUUGUGUUUUUGGUAAACAAUCACCCGGGCCUAGUCACUGCGACCCUCUUUGUGAGGAGGCAUCCCUUCUCCCGAAGUUGUGGGACUAUUUUGUCGAGUUCCUUAGAGAGACCACAUUCUCCAUAGAGUCAUCUUAUCUUUUCCUUCUCUGAGUUCAAGUUAUGGAAGAAGGAACCGAGAAGAAGAUAUCAGAGCUUCAAUGUGCCGACCCCAAAUUGUUUCAUCACGGCUAUCAUUGUGCAAUCAAUAUGAAAUGGCCUAAUGUGUUUUGAAAGUCGUAACGAUUCAAUUGUUUUCCCUUGGGAAUAAAACAUCAAAUCAUUAGCAUAAUCACCAAACAAAUUUCAGCUAUCAACUAAAACGACCUUUAGCGGUUUAGCACUACCCUACUUUGAUUUACUAAACAAAUUUCAGAUAUCAAAAAAAGGAGCCUCGGCAGUUUAGCACUACCCUACUUCGGCUCAUCAAACAAAUUUCAGCUAUUAAAUAAAGGAGCCUCGACAGUUUAGCACUAUCCUACUUUGGCUCAUCAAAAUAGGUUCAAUAUUCGAACUCUAACUUUGAUAUCAAUAUCUACACUUGGACUCAAAAGACUACUGUGUUGUCAAAAAUCUAACCAUGAUAGGAAAAUCACUCAAAGAUAGAAGUCUACACAUGACAUGAAUGACCAUACAUGGACUUGGUGGAUUAUUAUUGUGCUUCACCACGUGAGAUGCCACCGAAUCCCUUUUGCCAAAGCCCUAUUAUGGCAGAACCACUAAAGCCGUUUGAUGUAGCCUAAUUAACGAAGCUGUGAUGUCCACAGUCCACACGGUUAAAUCUGAAGCCCCACGGUCCCUUUUGCUAAAGCUCUGAAUGAAUCUGGGCCAAAGCCUCACAUAGUCGAACCACCAAAGCUCUUUGACAUAGCAUAAUUGUCGAAGCUAUGAAGUCUACACGGUUGAAUCUGAAGCCCACUGUGACGUCCCCAUAGCUGAAACUCCUUGAUUCUCAGUAUCUUGAUUUAAAUGAUUGAUUUAAAUUUUGUAAUGAGAGAUAUGUCAAAGUCUUAUCAACAUAGGCUAUAGAGUGUAUGCUCCCUUUGAUAGUAUUAAAUGCGCCACAAGCUAGUAAAGCCAAAAUUAGAUAAG